UGCGACGGGUCGAGAUGGUUUCAUAUUCUAGUAAUAUGCAAACCAAAUUGAUUUAGCGGAGGCCGCGACGUGAGUCACCUACCGGAUGUAGGGGAGUCGGAUAAACACUUUUGUGGAGAAG
rnacentral:ncRNA from 1 species